CCGUGCUCCUCCUGGGUGUAGGGAAUAGGAGUGAGUUUAUUUCAGAUUACUCAUUAUUGCUGGCUGCUGUUACUCUGCUUAUCAAAUGCCUCUAUGGAAAAAGAUGGUUUUACUACCUGCAGCCUGCCCCGGUGAUUGUAUGCAGUGUGAACUCCUGAGAACUUUGAGAACUUUACUCAGGUAUGUCUGCGGACCACAUGGAUACCUGGAACCUGGAGAGGUCAGAAGAGGGCCACAGGUCCUCUGGAACUGGAGUGAUGACAUGUGAGGCAACAUGUGAGUGCUGGCGAGUUAACCCAGGUCCUCUGCAAAAGCAGCAAGGUCUCCAAACUGCUGAGCCAUCUCUGCUGACUCUACGUUUGCAUGGUUUUGCUUGUUUGUUUGUUUUUUAAAUCCUCUGAAGCCAAAAGAGCUGGUGUUUUCAGAUAACAGAAUCACACUUCUACCCUAACUCAUGUAGAGAUCCAUCUUUCCCUCCUCCUCCCCUUUAGCUGUAGAUCCCCUACUCAGUGCUUCUUGACCUUCUUAAUGCCUUUAAUACAGUUCCUUGCAUUGUGCUGACCCAACCAUAAAAUUAUUUUCAUAGCUACUUCAUAACUAACUUUGCCACUGUUAUGAAUCAUGAUGUAAAUAUCCAUCAUGCAAGGAAUUGUGACACACAGGUUUAGAACCAGUGUCCCAGUUGGCUACAGCCUAGAACCUGAGUUACCAAGAAAGCGCUGCCUACCUAGUGUUCUUUUAUUUAGCUAGUUUAUUACCAGCUUUCUAUUUGCCUAUGGCACAUCAUGGGACAGAGAAUCCGAGAAACACUGGACCAUUGUUCCAUUCAAUGGUGUUCUACUCUCAAAGUUAACCUCCAAUGCUCUUUUGUGGUAUAUUUGGCCCUUCAUUUGUCAAUCUAUAACUAAGAAAAGAUAACGCAAACCUCAAACUGACCCAAAUUCAAUGUAUACAAGCAUUGAUUUCCCCAGAGCAUG
rnacentral:lncRNA from 1 species